GAUGAACGCUGGCGGCGUGCCUAAUACAUGCAAGUCGAGCGAACAGACGAGGAGCUUGCUCCUCUGACGUUAGCGGCGGACGGGUGAGUAACACGUGGAUAACCUACCUAUAAGACUGGGAUAACUUCGGGAAACCGGAUCUAAUACCGGAUAAUAUAUUGAACCGCAUGGUUCAAUAGUGAAAGACGGUUUUGCUGUCACUUAUAGAGGGAUCCGCGCCGGAUUAGCUAGUUGGUAAGGUAACGGCUUACCAAGGCAACGAUGCGUAGCCGACCUGAGAGGGUGAUCGGCCACACUGGAACUGAGACACGGUCCAGACUCCUACGGGAGGCAGCAGUAGGGAAUCUUCCGCAAUGGGCGAAAGCCUGACGGAGCAACGCCGCGUGAGUGAUGAAGGUCUUCGGAUCGUAAAACUCUGUUAUUAGGGAAGAACAAAUGUGUAAGUAACUAUGCACGUCUUGACGGUACCUAAUCAGAAAGCCACGGCUAACUACGUG
rnacentral:rRNA from 1 species